ACUUAGUGGCGGACGGGUGAGUAACGCGUGGGUAACCUGCCCUGUACAGGGGGACAACAGCUGGAAACGGCUGCUAAUACCGCAUAAGCCCUUAGCACUGCAUGGUGUAUAGGGAAAAGGAGCAAUCCGGUACAGGAUGGACCCGCGUCUGAUUAGCCAGUUGGCAGGGUAACGGCCUACCAAAGCGACGAUCAGUAGCCGAUCUGAGAGGAUGUACGGCCACAUUGGGACUGAGACACGGCCCAGACUCCUACGGGAGGCAGCAGUGGGGAAUAUUGCACAAUGGAGGAAACUCUGAUGCAGCGACGCCGCGUGAGUGAAGAAGUAUUUCGGUAUGUAAAGCUCUAUCAGCAGGGAAGAAAAUGACGGUACCUGACUAAGAAGCACCGGCUAAAUACGUGCCAGCAGCCGCGGUAAUACGUAUGGUGCAAGCGUUAUCCGGAUUUACUGGGUGUAAAGGGAGCGUAGGUGGCAAGGCAAGCCAGAAGUGAAAACCCGGGGCUCAACCGCGGGAUUGCUUUUGGAACUGUCAUGCUAGAGUGCAGGAGGGGUGAGCGGAAUUCCUAGUGUAGCGGUGAAAUGCGUAGAUAUUAGGAGGAACACCGGAGGCGAAGGCGGCUCACUGGACUGUAACUGACACUGAGGCUC
rnacentral:rRNA from 1 species